GUAGUCCACGCCGUAAACGAUGAAUGCUAGGUGUAGGGGAUAAUAUCUUCUGUGCCGCAGUAAACGCAAUAAGCAUUCCACCUGGGGAGUACGGCCGCAAGGUUGAAACUCAAAGGAAUUGACGGGAGCCCGCACAAGCAGUGGAGUAUGUUGUUUAAUUCGACGCAACGCGAAGAACCUUACCAGGUCUUGACAUCUGCGGAAGGAGUCGUAAUGGACUCUGUGCCCUUCGGGGAGCCGCAAGACAGGUAGUGCAUGGUUGUCGUCAGCUCGUGUCGUGAGAUGUUGGGUUAAGUCCCGCAACGAGCGCAACCCUUGCGAAUAGUUGCCAGCCGAAAGGCGGAACUCUAUUUGGACUGCCGUUGACAAAACGGA
rnacentral:rRNA from 1 species